ACAGGGUAAAGAAAUUAUAAUUUCAGGAGCCCGCCUGAAGAACAGGGUGAAGAAAAAGUAAUUCCAGAAGCCCGCCUGAAGAACAAGGUAAAGAAAUUGCAAGUUCAGGAGCCCGCCUGAAGAACAGGAUGAAUAAAAAGUAAUUUCAGGAGCCCGCCUGAAGAAAAGGGUGAAGAAAUUGCAAGCCCUAUAGCCCGCCUGAAGAACAGGGUAAAGAAAUUGUAAGUCCAGGAGCCCGCCUGAAAAACAGGGUAAAGAAAUUG
rnacentral:lncRNA from 1 species